GCCAGGCAUGGUGGCACGUUCCUGUAGUCCCAGCUACUUGAGAGGCUGAGGUGGGAGGAUCGCUUGAGCCCAGGAGUUCUGGGCUGUAGUGUGCUAUGCCCAUCAGGAGUCUGCACCAAGUUUGGCAUCAAUAUGGUGACCUCUCGGGAGUGGGGGACCACCAGGUUGCUAAGGAGAGGUGAACUGGCCCAGGCUGGAAACCGAGCAGGUCAAAACUUCCUGUGCUGAUCAGUAGUGGGAUCACACCUGUGAACAGCCACUACACUCCAGCCUGGGAAACAUAGCAAGACCUCAUCUCU
rnacentral:SRP_RNA from 1 species